rnacentral:rRNA from 1 species
UACGUAGGGUGCGAGCGUUGUCCGGAAUUAUUGGGCGUAAAGGGCUCGUAGGCGGUUUGUCGCGUCGGGAGUGAAAUCCUACGGCUUAACUGUGGGCUUGCUUUCGAUACGGGCAGACUAGAGGUAUGCAGGGGAGAACGGAAUUCCUGGUGUAGCGGUGAAAUGCGCAGAUAUCAGGAGGAACACCGGUGGCGAAGGCGGUUCUCUGGGCAUGAUCUGACGCUGAGGAGCGAAAGUGUGGGGAGAGAACAGG